rnacentral:ncRNA from 1 species
GUUUGUGAAGAUGUAGACUACCUACACCUCGACAGAAAGACCCUAUGAAACUUCACUGUUCUUUGAGAUUGGCUUGGGGCCUUUACUACACAGCUUAGGUAGAAGAUGAAGAAGGCCUCUUUUCGAGAGGGGAGGAGAGGGGCCUGAGCCAUCAGUGAGAUACCACUCUGGAAGGGCUAGAAUUCUAACCUUGUGUUAGGACCUACUGGCCAAGGGAUAGUCUUAGGUAGACAGUUUCUAUAGGGUGUAGGCCUCCAAAAAGUAAUGGAUGCGUGCAAAGGUUUCCUCGAUCUGGAUGGAGAUUGGCCCUCCAGUGAAAAGGUAAAAGGGAUCUUGACUGCAAGACCUACCCAUCGAACAGGGAUGAAAGUUGGCCUUAGUGAUCCGACGGUGCUGUGUGGAAUGACCGUCUCUCAACGGAUAAAAGUUACUCUAGGGAUAACAGGCUGAUCUUCCCCAAGAGCUCACAUCGAAGGCCAAAGGCCUCUCCUGGGUCAAAAUAUGCACCAAGCUACCCAUGCUAGUCGAUUUCUUG